UUGUCCUACGGGGCGCAGCAGUGGGGGAUAUUGCACAAUGGGGGAAACCCUGAUGCAGCGACGCCGCGUGUGGGAAGACGGUCUUCUGGAUUGUAAACCACUGUCCCCAGGGACGAAAAUGACGGUACCUGGGGAGGAAGCUCCGGCUAACUACGUGCCAGCAGCCGCGGUAAUACGUAGGUGGCGAGCGUUAUCCGGAAUGAUUGGGCGUAAAGGGUGCGCAGGCGGUCCUGCAAGUCUGGAGUGAAACGCAUGAGCUCAACUCAUGCAUGGCUUUGGAAACUGGCGGACUGGAGGGCAGGAGG
rnacentral:rRNA from 1 species